GAAAGAGAGUGGGCGGGGGGCGGGGAAAGACGGAGGGUGCAAGCGGUGUUGGGGAUGACGGGGAGUAAAGGGCGCGUAGGCGGCCGCCUAAGUCAGACGUGAAAUCCCCAAGCGUAACGGGGGAACUGCGUCUGAUACUGGGUGGCUUGAGUUCGGGAGAGGAAUGUGGAAUUCCAGGUGUAGCGGUGAAAUGCGUAGAUAUCUGGAGGAACACCGGUGGCGAAGGCGGCAUUCUGGACCGAAACUGACGCUGAUGCGCGAAAGCCAGGGGAGCAAACGGGAUUAGAUACCCGUGUAGUC
rnacentral:rRNA from 1 species